CCAAGAAUAUUCCGCAAUGGACGAAAGUCUGACGGAGCGACGCCGCGUGAGGGAAGAAGGCCUUCGGGUUGUAAACCUCUUUUGUUAGGGAAGAAUAAGCGCGUAGGAAAUGACGCGUGAUGACGGUACCUGACGAAUAAGCCCCGGCUAAUUACGUGCCAGCAGCCGCGGUAAUACGUAAGGGGCAAGCGUUGCUCGGAAUUUCUGGGCGUAAAGGGCGUGUAGGCGGCCCACCAAGUCGAAUGUAAAAAAUCACUGCUCAACAGUGGAGCUGCGUUCGAAACUGGCGGGCUUGGAUCUGGUGGAGGGUAAUGGAACUCCCGGUGUAGCGGUGAAAUGCGUAGAUAUCGGGAAGAACACCGAAGGCGAAGGCAAUUAUCCAUGCCGAGAUUGACGCUGAGGCGCGAAAGCGUGGGGAGCAAACA
rnacentral:rRNA from 1 species